GAUGAACGCUGGCGGCGUGCCUAACACAUGCAAGUCGAACGGAGAUAUCCGCUGAUUUGAAGGUAGCUUGCUACUGAAUUUUCUUGGGUAUCUUAGUGGCGGACGGGCGAGUAACGCGUGAGCAACCUGCCUUUCAGAGGGGAAUAACGACUGGAAACGGUCGCUAAUACCGCAUGACAUAUCGAGAUCGCAUGGUCAUGAUAUCAAAGGAGCAAUCCGCUGAAAGAUGGGCUCGCGUCCGAUUAGCUAGUUGGUGAGGUAACGGCCCACCAAGGCGACGAUCGGUAGCCGAACUGAGAGGUUGAACGGCCACAUUGGGACUGAGACACGGCCCAGACUCCUACGGGAGGCAGCAGUGGGGAUAUUGCACAAUGGAGGAAACUCUGAUGCAGCAACGCCGCGUGACGGGAAGAAGGUUUCGGAUUGUAAACCUCUGUUUUUAGUG
rnacentral:rRNA from 1 species